AAGCUACUCCCUCUGUUCAGAAUUACUCGUCCAAAAAAUGAAUGUAUCUAGAUGUAUUUUAGUUAUAGAUACAUCCAUUUUUGUGACAAGUAAUUCCGAACGGAGGGAGUACUCG
rnacentral:pre_miRNA from 1 species